AAUGAACGCUGGCGGCAUGCCUAACACAUGCAAGUCGAACGGCAACACCGUAAGUGCUUGCGCUUCCGGGGGGCCGGUCGCGUAAGUAACAGGAAUGUAUCCGACCCUAGUUUUUAGGGUGGCUUAAGGUAAGUUAACCUAAUAUAAGAUCGCAUACCACCUACGGGUGAAAGCCGGGGAUCUUCUGGCCUUGUGGGAUUGAACGAGCCGAUGUCGGGUUAGCUAGUUGGGGGGGUAAAGGCCAAGCAAGGCGACGAUACGUAGCUGGUCAGCGAGGAUGAUCAGCCACACUGGAACUGAGACACGGUCCAGACUCCUACGGUAGGCAGCAGUGGGGAAUGUUGGACAAUAGGCGGAAGCCUGAUCCAGCCAUCCCGAGUGUGUGACGAAGGCCUUCGGGUUGUAAAGCCCUUUUGUUGGGAAAGAAAAGCAGCAGGCUAAUACGCAGCGGUUGUGACGGUACCGGAAGAAGAAGCACCGGCUAACUACGUG
rnacentral:rRNA from 1 species